ACAGGCUGUGUGCCAUAACCUAUGACGGAAAAGCGUCAGCAGAGUGAGACACUGCGAGGGAAGAGCCUGCACAUACAUAACGUGAGUCCACAGCACACACGCUGAAAGGCAUCUAUCUAUCUAAUGGUUCUCUCCAGCCCACUAUGGCAUGUGCCAGUUAGAGAGGAUUCUCAGUAACCCUGCCUCAGAACCCAGCCUUGGUCAGCCCUUUAUCUGAUACAUCUCAUCCCUGAAAUGAGUAUAAAAGGGUCGACCCCUCAGGUGCAACAGGCACCUGUCCCAACUCUUUGGGGGCCUCUAUGUCACUUCCUGUCAUGUUUGCCUUUUCUUUCUUGCUAUGGGUCCCAUCAGCUGACAAAUACACAUGAAAUCCCCCUCAUAUUUCUACCUUAUACCCAUCACUCUGGGUACAGAAUACCAUAAUGGGUUCCUCGUUUUUUUCCAUCUAUCAUCUUCCCCAACUUCAGACAGCUUUUAAAUAAUACUUUUUAAAUU
rnacentral:lncRNA from 1 species